rnacentral:misc_RNA from 1 species
GAUGAAGAACGUAGCGAAAUGCGAUACGUAAUGUGAAUUGCAGAAUUCAGUGAAUCAUCGAAUCUUUGAACGCAUAUUGCGCUCUCUGGUAUUCCGGAGAGCAUGCUUGUUUGAGUAUCAGUAAACACCUCAACUUCCAUAUCUUUUUUGAAAUGGGAGUUGGACUUGAGUGAUCCCAACGCUUUUCCUCACCGAAAAGUGGCGGGUUACUUGAAAUGCAGGUGCAGCUGGACUUUUCUCUGAGCUAUAAGCAUAUCUAUUUAGUCUGCCUAAAAAACAGAUUAUUACCUUUGCUGCGGCUAACAUAAAGGAGAUUAGUUCUUGUGCUGACUGAUGCAGGAUUCACAAAGACAGGCUUCGGCCGACUUUGUAAACUCGAUCUCAAAUCAAGUAAGACUACCCGCUGAACUUAAGCAUAUCAAUAAGCGGAGGA